rnacentral:lncRNA from 1 species
CAAGACUUUUGUCAGCCUAUGUGUAUUGACAGGGAGAUUUUCUAAGGCAUUGAGUCACAGAAUAAUAGGCAGUGGGUUUCCUCUCUCUGCAAGUUCACCUGGGCAGAGCCUGCUUCCUCAGCUUUGGGCCACUUCAGUCUUUUCUCCACCCCAGAUGUUUAAGUGGCCCUGACUCACAGCUGGUUACAUGGGAGUAUGCAGCAAAGAGUUAUGAUGCCUCCUGAUCUUCAGCUUCUGGAGUCCCGUGGAGUUAAUCCAGGUCCCUCAGGGUCCUCAGAUGCCCAGUUACAGGCUCUGAACCUAUGGUGCCAGAUCACAUGUACUUCAGCCCUCCACCACUACAGCUCCUACAGCUGGAAGAUCUUUCCCCACUGGCAGCAAGAGGGGAGGAUGGCAUCUGGCAGAUCCUGAUUUACAUUAUUCCAGCUCCCUGACCUAAAAGAUAAAACCUACCCCUCCUCAUUUAAUAAAAUCAGAAGGAAA